rnacentral:siRNA from 1 species
GGCCAUUGAUAUGUUAACUCGAUA